AUGAAACUGAAGCCAGAUCAAAACGUUGACUCCAACUGUACUCGAUUCAAAGAGAAAGUGGGAAAUACAACUAGGAAAAGGACUGAAGACCACGACACCUGUGCCACAUCUACCACUAACCCCCCCUUGACCCCUUCAAAACCCACCCUCCUAUCCACUAUGUCUCUCAAUACCUUCCACCUGAUGGAGACCCUCAAGAAAUCCCCGGCUGCUUUACGCCGCCGUUUCCGCCGCGACCGCACAGAGUCCCUCUCCCACGGCGAUCCGCUAUUCAAGGUCCACUACCUGGGCACUGAGAAAAUCUUCUCCCUGGAUCGAGAGCAGGCCCAGGAUGCCAUAGCCCGUCUGCUCGAUGGGGCCGCAAAUGGAAAGAAGCUGAGCAAAGACCACGCGUUAGUUGUUCGUCCACGCUAUGUCGAAGUCAAAGAGCUCAGCACAGGACGCCAGCUCACUAAGACGUACCUCCAGGACAUCGCCUACUGCGCGGCCGACGCCACCAGACCCAACGUGUUUCUGUACAUCUGUAAGCAGCGUGGGCAACAGCUGCAGUGCCGGGUGUUCUGGUGCAGCCGGGCAGAGCGGGCACGGGACAUGACGGCCUGUCUGGCACACUCCUUCCAGAGGGCACUGAGUGACUGGCAGGGGGAUGGCGGAAGUACCGGCACACUGACCCCAGAAAAGGUUGGGGCGAAGGAGGGAGAGGAUAUGCCCACCACCCCUAAUAGCUCCAAAAACUCCAUGCUAACAGCUAGCUUAAGACGAGUCCGUUGGAAGAAGAGGAGGUCCCUGUCUCGCAGUCCACUGAGUGCCAUGAUCAGGAAGAGAUCCACCUCAGACAUCUGGCACUGAGACAACCGAUCCCCAGCGUGACACUAAACUGAUGACACCCACAGAGACUAGUUACAGCACGUAGGGAGGGAGGGAAGAGACGAGGGAUUGAAAGAACCCACCACUACUGGACUCAACAGGACUGAAGGGUGAGAGAAGGAGAUUAGUGCUGGACUUUCUUUUAAAUGGGACAUUGCCUUAGUAAGUCUACAGUACAGUUCAUGACUGAAAUGAACAUUUAGCCUACAAACCGGGACAGUUAAUGACUAGCUGCCUUGGAAGACCUGGGAACAAGGCAUUGGGUUGAUGGUGUGGUACUGUAAGCUGUUUCCAGCAUUCACCUCCGUUGCCUUGUGACUUGUUUUCACUGUUGGAAAGCUUCAAUGCUAAACUG
rnacentral:lncRNA from 1 species